rnacentral:rRNA from 1 species
AAUCAACGCUGGCGGCGUGCCUAACACAUGCAAGUCGAGCGAGAAAAGGGGGCAACUCCCUGAGUAAAGCGGCGCACGGGUGAGUAACACGUGGGUAAUCUGCCCUGGAGUGGGGAAUAACACCGGGAAACCGGUGCUAAUACCGCAUACGAUAGCGAGGUCUUCGGACUUUGUUAUGAAAGGAGCAAUUCGCUCCAGGAGGAGCCCGCGGCUGAUUAGCUAGUUGGUGAGGUAACGGCUCACCAAGGCUACGAUCAGUAUCCGGCCUGAGAGGACGGUCGGACACACUGGAACUGAGGCACGGUCCAGACUCCUACGGGAGGCAGCAGUGGGGAAUUUUUGGCAAUGGGGGCAACCCUGACCAAGCAACGCCGCGUGGGUGAUGAAGUCUCUUGGGACGUAAAACCCUUUCGACAGGGACGAAAGCCGCAAGGUUUGACGGUACCUGUAGAAGAAGCCCCGGCUAACUCCGUGCCAGCCGCCGCCGUAAUAC